AGGCUGAGACGUGAUGCAUAGCCGAUUGAGGCGAAGUAGAGUGAUCCCAUGCUGCCGAGAAAAGCCUCUAGUGAGUGUUCAUGCGGCCCGUACCCCAAACCGACACAGGUGGUCAGGUAGAGAAUACCGAGGCGAUCGGGCGAACUGUGGUUAAGGAACUCGGCAAAAUGCCCCCGUAACUUCGGGAGAAGGGGGGCCGAGGGAUUUGAAGCCCCUUGCGGGCUAGGAUUUUUCGGCCGCAGAGACCAGCGAGAAGCGACUGUUUACUAAAAACACAGGUCCGUGCGAAGUCGCAAGACGAUGUAUACGGACUGACGCCUGCCCGGUGCUGGAACGUUAAGGGGACCGGUUAGCUCUUCGGGGCGAAGCUGAGAACUUAAGCGCCAGUAAACGGCGGUGGUAACUAUAACCAUCCUAAGGUAGCGAAAUUCCUUGUCGGGUAAGUUCCGACCUGCACGAAUGGCGUAACGACUUCUCGACUGUCUCAACCACAGGCCCGGCGAAAUUGCAUUACGAGUAAAGAUGCUCGUUACGCGCGGCAGGACGGAAAGACCCCGGGACCUUUACUAUAGCUUGGUAUUGGUGUUCGGUUCGGCUUGUGUAGGAUAGGUGGGAGACUGUGAAGCGCUGACGCCAGUCAGUGUGGAGUCGUCGUUGAAAUACCACUCUGGUCGUACUGGAUGUCUAACCUCGGUCCGUGAUCCGGAUCAGGGACAGUGCCUGGUGGGUAGUUUAACUGGGGCGGUUGCCUCCCAAAGGGUAACGGAGGCGCUCAAAGGUUCCCUCAGCCUGGUUGGCAAUCAGGUGUCGAGUGCAAGUGCACAAGGGAGCUUGACUGUGAGACCGACAGGUCGAGCAGGGACGAAAGUCGGAACUAGUGAUCCGGCCAUGGCUUGUGGAAGCGUGGUCGCUCAACGGAUAAAAGGUACCCCGGGGAUAACAGGCUGAUCUUGCCCAAGAGUCCAUAUCGACGGCAUGGUUUGGCACCUCGAUGUCGGCUCGUCGCAUCCUGGGGCUGGAGUAGGUCCCAAGGGUUGGGCUGUUCGCCCAUUAAAGCGGUACGCGAGCUGGGUUUAGAACGUCGUGAGACAGUUCGGUCCCUAUCCGCCGCGCGCGUAGGAUACUUGCGGAAGGCUGUCCCUAGUACGAGAGGACCGGGACGGACGGACCUCUGGUGUGCCAGUUGUCCUGCCAAGGGCAUUGCUGGUUGGCUACGUUCGGAAGGGAUAACCGCUGAAAGCAUCUAAGCGGGAAGCCUGUUCCUAGAUGAGGUAUCCCACCCUUUGUGGGUUAAGGCCCCCAAGAGACUAUUGGGUUGAUAGGCCGGAGAUGGAAGGUCGGUAACGGCUGGAGUUGACCGGUACUAAUAGGCCGAGGACUUG
rnacentral:rRNA from 1 species